GAUGAACGCUAGCUGCAGGCUUAACACAUGCAAGUCGAGGGGCAGCAUAAAACUAGCUUGCUAGUUUUGAUGGCGACCGGCGCACGGGUGAGUAACGCGUAUCCGACCUACCCAUAACACGGGCACAGCCGCUCGAAAGAGUGAUUGAUUCCCGAUAUGUCUUGUGAGUAGAUUUCAAGAUGAAAGAUUAUCGGUUAUGGAUGGGGAUGCGUAAGAUUAGGUAGUAGGCGGGGUAACGGCCCACCUAGCCGACGAUCUUUAGGGGUUCUGAGAGGAAGGUCCCCCACACUGGUACUGAGACACGGACCAGACUCCUACGGGAGGCAGCAGUGAGGAAUAUUGGUCAAUGGGCGGAAGCCUGAACCAGCCAAGUAGCGUGAAGGAUUACAGCCCUACGGGUUUUAAACUUCUUUUAUAUAAGAGUAAUGUGCACUACGUGUAGUGUAUUGCAAGUAUUAUAUGAAUAAGCAUCGGCUAACUCCGUGCCAGCCGCCGCGGUAACAC
rnacentral:rRNA from 1 species